GUGCUUCCGCCUCUAGUGGUGAUG
rnacentral:siRNA from 1 species